GCAUAGCCGAGUUGAGAGACUGAUCGGCCACAAUGGAACUGAGACACGGUCCAUACUCCUACGGGAGGCAGCAGUAGGGAAUCUUCCACAAUGGGCGCAAGCCUGAUGGAGCAACACCGCGUGAGUGAAGAAGGGUUUCGGCUCGUAAAACUCUGUUGUUGAAGAAGAACGUGCGUGAGAGUAACUGUUCAUGCAGUGACGGUAUUCAACCAGAAAGUCACGGCUAACUACGUGCCAGCAGCCGCGGUAAUACGUAGGUGGCAAGCGUUAUCCGGAUUUAUUGGGCGUAAAGCGAGCGCAGGCGGUUGCUUAGGUCUGAUGUGAAAGCCUUCGGCUUAACCGAAGAAGUGCAUCGGAAACCGGGCGACUUGAGUGCAGAAGAGGACAGUGGAACUCCAUGUGUAGCGGUGGAAUGCGUAGAUAUAUGGAAGAACACCAGUGGCGAAGGCGGCUGUCUGGUCUGCAACUGACGCUGAGGCUCGAAAGCAUGGGUAGCGAACAGGAUUAGAUACCCUGGUAGUCCAUGCCGUAAACGAUGAGUGCUAGGUGUUGGAGGGUUUCCGCCCUUCAGUGCCGCAGCUAACGCAUUAAGCACUCCGCCUGGGGAGUACGACCGCAAGGUUGAAACUCAAAGGAAUUGACGGGGGCCCGCACAAGCGGUGGAGCAUGUGGUUUAAUUCGAAGCUACGCGAAGAACCUUACCAGGUCUUGACAUCUUGCGCUAACCUAAGAGAUUAGGCGUUCCCUUCGGGGACGCAAUGACAGGUGGUGCAUGGUCGUCGUCAGCUCGUGUCGUGAGAUGUUGGGUUAAGUCCCGCAACGAGCGCAACCCUUGUUACUAGUUGCCAGCAUUCAGUUGGGCACUCUAGUGAGACUGCCGGUGACAAACCGGAGGAAGGUGGGGACGACGUCAGAUCAUCAUGCCCCUUAUGACCUGGGCUACACACGUGCUACAAUGGCCGGUACAACGAGCAGCUAACCCGCGAGGGUGUGCAAAUCUCUUAAAGCCGGUCUCAGUUCGGACUGCAGUCUGCAACUCGACUGCACGAAGUCGGAAUCGCUAGUAAUCGCGGAUCAGCAUGCCGCGGUGAAUACGUUCCCGGGCCUUGUACACACCGCCCGUCACACCAUGGAAGUUUGCAAUGCCCAAAGUCAGUGGCCUAACCAUUUUGGAGGG
rnacentral:rRNA from 1 species